rnacentral:rRNA from 1 species
AUUGAACGCUGGCGGCAGGCCUAACACAUGCAAGUCGAACGGUAACAGGAAGAAGCUUGCUUCUUUGCUGACGAGUGGCGGACGGGUGAGUAAUGUCUGGGAAACUGCCUGAUGGAGGGGGAUAACUACUGGAAACGGUAGCUAAUACCGCAUAACGUCGCAAGACCAAAGAGGGGGACCUUCGGGCCUCUUGCCAUCGGAUGUGCCCAGAUGGGAUUAGCUAGUAGGUGGGGUAACGGCUCACCUAGGCGACGAUCCCUAGCUGGUCUGAGAGGAUGACCAGCCACACUGGAACUGAGACACGGUCCAGACUCCUACGGGAGGCAGCAGUGGGGAAUAUUGCACAAAGGACGCAAGCCUGAUGCAGCCAUGCCGCGUGUAUGAAGAAGGCCUUCGGGUCGUAAAGUACUUUCAGCGGGGAGGAAGGGAGUAAAGUUAAUACCUUUGCUCAUUGACGUUACCCGCAGAAGAAGCACCGGCUAACUCCGUG